UAGGGAAUCUUCUACAAUGGACGCAAGUCUGAUGGAGCAACGCCGCGUGAGUGAAGAAGGUUUUCGGAUCGUAAAGCUCUGUUGUUGGUGAAGAAGGAUAGAGGUAGUAACUGGCCUUUAUUUGACGGUAAUCAACCAGAAAGUCACGGCUAACUACGUGCCAGCAGCCGCGGUAAUUCGUAGGUGGCAAGCGUUGUCCGGAUUUAUUGGGCGUAAAGCGAGCGCAGGCGGAAGAAUAAGUCUGAUGUGAAAGCCCUCGGCUUAACCGAGGAACUGCAUCGGAAACUGUUUUUCUUGAGUGCAGAAGAGGAGAGUGGAAUUCCAUGUGUAGCGGUGGAAUGCGUAGAUAUAUGGAAGAACACCAGUGGCGAAGGCGACUCUCUGGUCUGCAACUGACGCUGAGGCUCGAAAGCAUGGGUAGCGAACAAG
rnacentral:rRNA from 1 species